UCAAGACUGCAAACUUACAUGUCUCAAGCUCCUUUUAUUUUCUCCUUUGAUCGUCUGUCAUAUACUUGGUCUUGUUACUUCUCCUGCUCUGCCUGCCUUCCCUCUGAGGAUAUAUAUGCUGAACGGACCAGAAGUUAUCUGCUCCUGGCAUUAUCUAGCAAACUACUGAAUCACAAAUUGUGGGGAGAGAGCUGCAACGCGUCUCUUACUCGAUCAUUAGGAUGAAAAGAGAAAUGGGUAACACAAAGAUGCAGUUCCCUACUUGAAAAGGAAGGAGACUGGCAGUGCAUUUCAGGCCUUUUAAAGCGCAGCGGAGGGCCUGCCGAUUUGGGGCUUCUUGGGUAAUGCCUAUUCCAGUGCAGCAGCGUUCCUCGGCUGUAAUGAAGCACCUUGUAAAUUAUGUAUAACGGCGCAACAUUAUUCCUGGCAAAAUAUUCCUGUCAGGACAUUCGUCCUUGUAAAUCAUCGCAGAAGGCAGUUUCUAGUAGAGUUAUGUAAAAAUGUGACCUCUUGCUGCUAAUGAGACCAGCACUGAUCAACUGCUAGCAGGCAUAUGCUACUCUAAUGCCCCACUGCUGCAAACUGUUGCAAGUUUAAGUUCUUCAUUUGACUGCUUGGCCUAGGUGAGAUGUAACACUCCUACUAACUGAUUAGGAGAAAUAGAAGGGAAAGGAAGUGGUUGCCUCCAGGUUUCUACUCUGUGGUGUACGUUUGGUUUCUGGCUGAACCAUUUAGAACUGCUCAAAUGGCAGAAGACGACUAGUCAUGCGAUGUAGCACUGUUUUGUUUUAGGUUAGUAUGAUCUGAACAUGCACAUUUUGGUUUGUCGAUCCAAAUGGAAACUUCGUGCUUCAGGUUAACUGGACAUAAAAUUUAAACUAUUCCUAAACCAUUAUGGUGUCUUGUGGAAGAAUUCAAAUACCUCUGCAAGCAGCAGCCCCUCAUCUGGUUGAAAUGCUGUGUUGAAAGUCACAUGCCAGUAGAAGAUCAUGGGACAUAUAAACCCGCCAAGAUUCUUCCUGGAGAAAAGAAAAAAAUGUACAUUAUGCAUUGUGGCAGAGCGCUGAGCAUUUCCAGCUCCUGGCAUCACACUGGGAUCUAGCUGUAUUCAGCAGCUCACCACAGUGAACUUUUUCGGUGAGGACAGAAAAGAUAGAUGUUUGCAGAUGGCACAUUUGAGGAUCAUACUUCCCAUACGUGUUGCAAGAUUAAGUAAAAGCCAGGGAGGUGAUGGGAGCCAAGAGAGAAAGGGCCUGUGUCCUCAGCAUCUCGGUGCGUGACUCCAGAGGAUGAGAGAUAGACUUCAACUGGUGGCAGGUGGAAUGUACCUGCCCUUGAGUGAGAAAUCAGCUGUCUCUUCAUGCUUUCCAGAACGUUCAGUCUCUCAAUUCAGAUUGAGAUGCCUUUAUCUUCCCUGGGAUCUAAAAAAGGAUAAGUAGUACGCUCACAUAAAUCUAACUGCAGGAUUAAGGCAUCUGUCCACAAGUAAAAAAAAGAUGAGGCACUUCCAAAUAGCAAUGAUCCUGCGUCAGGUUUCCUAACUAGAUUCUUUGGUGAACUGUUCUUCAGCCAGCCAGAUACUUUAAUCACACUUGUUGAUGAAUCCAUAAAUCAAAGGUUUGAGAAAGCCAGUGAUCUUCAGCACCAGGUAGCAAAGCAAGCCCUGUGCUGACCUAAAACUGUGUUGCGUGUAACCACAGAGCUGCAGGACUUUGGCAAGUCUGACUGUCUUUUAAGAGAGCUCAAUAGGAACGCAAAAGAGGCAGGUGUCCUUGGGGCUUUGCAAGGGCUGCCUGCGGCAACAGUGAGGCUCAUUCCAAAGAACUCAUGAACGACGUUGUUCAAAUGAUGAUGUUCAAAGAAAGCCUUGAAAUAAAGUGGGGCGUCCUGUCUCUGCUUUUUUGCAAAGAGCAAUUACUAAAACCAUCAUUAGGAACUCCUGAAAACAGAAAUUCAAAACCAGACUAUGGAGCAAGAGAACUGAAUUAUAAAGUAGCGUGAACCAAUUAACUUCCUGCCUCUCCUCUACAGUAAAGGCUGAUGUACAGAAUCCUUGACUUCUACACAGCAGCAAGCAGGGAAGCAGCAGAGGGUUAUACUACUGGCUCAGUAUGCUGGAAGAUACUCCUCUUGCUGUUGGGAUGUGUGUACUUGAUACACAUAAGACUGUAAGUGAAAUGUUUUUCCCGAAUGAUUCCUCAAAUAGCGUUAUUCAGGUGCAAGAAAAGGAGGUAUUUGCCUUACAGUGUAGGGAGAAAUGAUCUACCACAUCUCUGCAUAAUGAUAUUAUACCUGGAAACUACUUUAAAAUAAGGCAGACUUAAACCUAGGAGGACUGGGAUAGGAGAUGAAGGAUGAUGGAACCCUGCUGUAUUUUGUCUCUUUUUAGUGGAAUAGAUUUGAGUUAAAACCCCAUUGAAUCAGGCAGGAUAAGAGGAAUUUGGGAUCUGAACCAGGUUUCCAGAUAUAGAAAAAUGCAAUGUCUCUAGCAGGUCAUGAACAAUUUUAUUGCUUUCUUCCUUCUUUGUGAUUUAUCUUUCCAUACUUUUGGUGAUUUCUAAUGGUCAGAGCAGCUAAAGGGCAGCCUUGAUGAUGUUUUUGUCUUUACACACACCUUGGACCUGGGAGAGUAAUUAUAGUAGUCUCCAAUCUCUGUAAACUCAUAGAUGUCACCCUCAAGCACAGGAUACACAGGAGAGAAAAAGCUUUAUUUACCCUUCAGCUCACUGCAAAUCUGCAUAAUGCUGGGAGAAAUCCUCAGCCUAAUUCUCCUCCCAGGGCAUCAGUAGAAACUGAGAGAAUUUCACUGGAAGGCAAUUCUUCCAGAAGAUGUGGGAGGCAACCUGGAUACUGCGUGUAACAGGUCUGCAAAGCGAACAGUCCCUGCUCACCUCUUUUCCCUGGAUCUUGCUCCUACCCUAUGCAAAGUUGAUAAAACUGACGCUGUUCAGGAUAAAGCUUACCUCAUCUCAAAAGGAGAGUUUUAAAAAUGAGAGUAGGAUGACUUGCAAAUUGUGGAUAGAUAAACAGAUAGUAACUCAAAGUUAAUUUUUAAUGUUCAGCUUCUGAUUGUUCGGGAGAGGGGGAUAACAAGGCUACUCAAAUAUUCUGUCUGAACAGAGCAUAAAUGACUGUUCUUAGGCAAAGUUGCUGCCAAAACACCCAACUGCCCAUCACAACACAUCAAGCUCCCAGAAUGGAAAUCCUCUUGGCAAGGGCGUAUGAUAGUCCACAGACUUCAGUGUCAGAACUGGAAAAAAACAAAAUAAGCAAGCAAUAAAGCAAAAAAAAGGGAAAAAUUAUACUCAUUGUAAUUGAGUCAGCUUGUUGAGGGACAUAAAAAUCUAAUCAAUUGCUUUUGCAUAACAAUCAGUUGUCAUGUUGGGCUCUAAUUGAGCAGCCAGAUGGAGCCUUGUAGUUGUAGACUGUAGUAGUAUUCCUGGGACACACAAAACCACAUGAGGCGAUGAACAUUAGGUUCAUCUUUCUGUUAACAUGUAAGGAGAACUCCACUUAACAGGCAAAAACAGAUUUCCCAGACCAAACAUAUUCAACUCAAUGUGCUUCUCUCCUAUACACAGCAGAUAGAAACCUUUCUUUUAAUGGAUGCUUUCUGGGUUUAUAGGUAUUACCAAGUACCCUGAAGCUGGGGCAUGAGUGGCUUCCAAACGCCCAGAUGACAUGGAGGAUCUACAGGAACUUGACUUCCUUUCUAAUAUUUUUGCAUAUGCUCCAUAAGCAUGGCACAUUUAAAAGGACACUGACCAGACAUUUUUCAUAAGCAUUUUGUUUCUUAAUGUUUAUAAAAGCUUCUCGGGAAAACUGAAACUGAAAUCCAUUUCUUGAGUGAAUUGUUUUUCUACUCCAUCUGGAUGCUUUGAUUUACUUGGCUGUGGGCUUUUUAUUAGCAGCAGAAACAAAAGUAGUAAUAAAGAACUGAGAGUAUUUAAUAGUUUAUCCCUAAAAGUAACAUAGGUCUUGGUAUCUUACUGGACACAAGUUAUUACUGUAAUUUUAACCAAAAAAGGCAAGUUGUAUUUUGGAUCUGCAAAACUUGGCAGUAUUCUAUCAAAGAGGAUAUUGAAUCAAGUAUAGUCAGUCAAGAAAUAAAACUGUCAACCAAAACCCUUUGGCCUAAAUGCAGACUGGCUCUCUUUCCCUUUCUGGGCUCACUAGGAUCUCAGUCCAACAAAGUUCAUUGCUUUGAAAGGGAACAGAGCCUCGUAGCUUGUGUGCAGCACUGAUGCCUGUUUUUAUUCCUGUCAAUACCUGUGCAAGUAAACAACUCAGAGAUUCGGGAAAGGAAUUUAACUUAUUUAUUUCAUGUCUGGUUUCUGAUAAUCAUUAAA